rnacentral:lncRNA from 1 species
UAUAAUCAUCCCUCAUUAGGUCUUUCCACCUUUCCGUGGAAAGACCUAUUGAAUUUGUUCUGAUUAUUAUUAUUAUUAUUAUUUUUUUUUUUUCUUCCGCCUAAUUUUUUUUCUUGCGUAUUAUUGAUGUUUCAAAAGAUGUCGCUUAGAUAUUUGGAAUAUGGUAUCGUAUAGUUUAUACGCUUUAAAAAUUUACAACUGCGUAACAAAAUACUUUACGUUGUUAGAGUUAUCUCCCCAAACACUGUUUUUCUUGUGGCCACUACUCCUUCGCAACCGUUAAAGAUUACGACAAAUUUAUUUUACCAAAUUGCUCGUUACAUCUUCAGGAUUAGGAUAUUCAUUUGGACCGAAGCUUUACGGAGACUCCAUAUGAGAGUUAUUCCCCCUUUUCCAUUUAAUUAAGUGAUAUGCAUUUCUAAAUGGUAAACCAUAAGUGAUAAAGACAUAGGGUCUUUAGAUUUGAGGUCCUUGGUCCAAAAUGAUAAAAAUGAGGUCAAGGUCAAAGGUCAAGGUCAUAUUCUAAAUUUUUGAUUUUGGCUUAUUUUCAUUUAUUUUCAAAUAUCUUAUGACAUAUCGACAAAUAAUUUUUCAUAAAUUGUUAGUUGCGACAUGUCCUUACUUGUAUAUUUUGGUUGAUAGGGUGCGCAUACAAUAAAUGGGAGUUUUUGUCCAUCUUACAUUUAGAAUUACGCGUAAAGUGGUAUUACUCAUUAACCAAACAUAUUAAAGACCUUGGGUCUUAUGAUUUAAGGUCCUUGGUUUGUGACCUUGAAAUUGAGGUCAAGGUCAUAGGUUAAAAGGACGUUCUUGAUUUUGACCUUUG